rnacentral:lncRNA from 1 species
UUUUAGUUACAGGUUAAAUUACAUAUUCUAAUAACCAAAAGUUUGUAGCAAGAAGUGUUAUCAAGCAAACAUCACACACUCUUUUAAGUUUCCUAGCACUUGAAGAAAGGAAUAGAUGAAAGGAGGAAAAGACAAUAGAUGAUAGCAACUCCUAGAUUGUUCUGGUAAUCAAAACUACUUAUAGUACAGUAACAUGACUGAACAAAUUACAAACUGUGGAAACCACUUUUUGCCUGUAAAACUUAAUACGAUGAUACUGACACUCCCCAGAUUCAAGUGAGCCUCAUGCAAUGGACCUUCCCCUUUUUACUAGAUCCACCACUUGAUCUAGUUCUUGGUUGAUGUGUUCACCUCAAAUUUCUUCUUCUUGGUUGAUGUGUUCAUCCCCUUUUUACUAUAGUUAUGUAAAAUCCACCUGGUAGACUGGCAAUGCAUGACAACAGAAUGAAGCUCGCAUCGUUCCAUGUGGUCAUGGAUACUUGGAAGAUUUGGAGGAUAGCAUGUAUCUGAUAGGACAUGAAGGAACCGCAAGGGCCAUGGUUGCCACCACGAACACAGCUUGGAACAAAAUAUAAGUGAUGGUUCGGUUCUGAUCACCUAGUGUAUUUGCCUCUGGAGCCUUCUUUGAGAGUUCCCUGCAUCAUCCACAUAAGAACUUCAAUAAGACUAAAAGUAUGAUCCUCCGGAGUUACGAAAACAAAUGCACUGACACUGCACAUGGAAGAUAGUGAUGCUCUACGUUCUACAAGCGACUCGCUACAUUUAAAUCCAUCAGAUACUUCUCGAGCAAUAGAUGUCGACCACAUUACCCACCCAUAAAAGUUUACUUUUUUUACUAUGGGGGUUAUUUGUUUCAGCAUUGCAUAAUGUAAUGUGUGAUUGAGCAAGCUGAAGUAUCAAACAUCAAGGAGCCUGUGAUCACCCUCAAGUUGAUCAGGUAAUUGGUUGUUUGAAAGUAAGAUAAUUUUCAAGGGCUAUUAAGGUAUGCAAGGAACCUAGAUCACCAAUUUAAGUUCUACUGGUUUGAGCCAAAUAAAAUCUGCUGAAGUUAAAUAAAAGUGUAACCCAUUGCUAUUAUUUGGCCAUAAAAGCAUUAUGAACAGUAGGUAAACUAUCCAUUUAUCCAUAAUACUAAGUCGUAAUAGUAGGUAAACUAUGCCUCCAGCUUCAGCUUUCAACAUUUCAUACUAUAUAUCAGAUAUCUUGUCAGAUAUCAUGAAAUUUUACAGCUUCAAAUAAAGAUCAUGGUUUUUGUUAUUCAUUUUUGUUAAUGUUAACAAGCACUAAAAAAACCAGCUAUAUGCCAUCAAGUAGAUAGCUGACUCACAGGGUAAUAGAUGUACAAGUAACACUAAAGUUGAAAUAAACACCAGGCUAUUCUGCCAAACAAUCAAUGCCAAGCAGGUGGCCCCUGGAGGAAGUUGGAUAAAAGCUACUUAUGUUUUCCAACAUGUUCCAAGGAAAUGAGGGGAAUGGAGACACAAUUAUCCUUUAGCAAAAGAAAAGCAAACCAAUAAAAGGUUUCAAUCUUUUGAAAGCAGAGUAGGAUUGCUAGGAAGAAUGUAAUUGGCAUGGUAGCAGAUAUCAAUAGAAGAUGGAAUCGGUUAUGUGCUAUCUUUUUCUUGUUUCAAUAACUAUAGCCUCUGAAAUGGACAGACGCCCACAGACUCUAGUAAAAAAGAGCACAACCGAAGCAAGCAGAAACAUUUGUGUUACUUUGAUCCUUUGACUAAUGAAUUUGACUGGGAUAAGUAUAUCUUAAUAACAAACACAAAAUUCUCAUGACACAGUGAACAAGAACAAUAAACUUUGAACAGAACUAAUAAAGAUACACAUACAGGGUAUAUGGACAGAACACAAAACCAAGCAAUAGAAGAUGGAAUCGGUUGUGUGUUAUCUUUUUCUUGUUUCAAUUACUAUAGCCUCUGAAAUGGACAUUCACAUAAAGGUCUCAUAAUUUCUACUGAUUUUGUUGUCACUUUGGUGUGAAGUCUCCUCCUAGGGUUCACUUCUGAUGCAAAGCAACAUAAGGAGUCACAGCCAGGGCUUUGUCAUGCUACAGCUUGAAGCAAGCUCACACCAAUCCUCGGUUUCUUAAGGCUUCGAGAAUAACUCGUUAACACUAAAAUAAAUCAAAAUGCACCAAAUCUAAAGAAUUCCGAACAAAUGUUACCUGAAAACAUCCAAGUCUAUCCUUAAUCUUCACUGAUUUCUUCGACAACAUCUCCUUCGUCUGAACCGGCUGCUACGAUGGCAUGGAAUCUCCGACCGAUAAGCCACUCUCAGAUCGACAAGAAUAUAUAUAGAGGAAACGCACAUGCCUCGGAUUGAUCCGCGACUCGAUGCCUCGCGCCACCGAUUCCCACCUCGCCUUCCGCCGUCCUGUGUAAUACGAUUGAUCCCCUCUCUUUCUCCGUUCUUUUGGAGAG